GUGGGGAAUAUUGGACAAUGGGGGGAACCCUGAUCCAGCCAUGCCGCGUGUGUGAAGAAGGCCUUUUGGUUGUAAAGCACUUUAAGCGAGGAGGAGGCUACCGAGAUUAAUACUCUUGGAUAGUGGACGUUACUCGCAGAAUAAGCACCGGCUAACUCUGUGCCAGCAGCCGCGGUAAUACAGAGGGUGCAAGCGUUAAUCGGAUUUACUGGGCGUAAAGCGCGCGUAGGUGGCCAAUUAAGUCAAAUGUGAAAUCCCCGAGCUUAACUUGGUAAUUGCAUUCGAUACUGGUUGGCUAGAGUAUGGGAGAGGAUGGUAGAAUUCCAGGUGUAGCGGUGAAAUGCGUAGAGAUCUGGAGGAAUACCGAUGGCGAAGGCAGCCAUCUGGCCUAAUACUGACACUGAGGUGCGAAAGCAUGGGGAGCAAACAGGAUUAGAAACCCCAGUAGUCC
rnacentral:rRNA from 1 species